UGGUGGUGCAUGGCCGUUC
rnacentral:siRNA from 1 species